UCUAUCUCUCUCUCUCUCUCACACACACACACACACACACACACACACACACACACACACACACACACACACACACACACGCACGCACACACCUUGAUCCAUCAUUUGCUUGUCAGGCACUGUGAGCUAUUAAAUAUGCACUUGCAGGCGUUUAAACAGCUGUGGCCUUCUGAGCACUUCCCCAACGCUGUCCUCACACUGCCCAUCAACGCUGAUCUCACACUGCCCAGCAGCGCUGUCCUCACACUGCCCAGCACCGUGCUUCAGCUUACUGAAGAUGCUCAGAAAUAGCCACAGACUGCUCAACACCACUCCAACAGCCUCGACAACCCUGGCCUCUCCAACAAGACUGGUUCUUCCUAAAAACUUAUCUUACAGAGACAUCAUUUUAUUGUAUUAUUUCUUCUCUGAGCAGAAAUGUUACUUUUUCAUCUAAUGUUGCAUUUGGAGGAGAAAAAAGCUUGUUGCAUGCAAAUGGAGAAUAAACUUUUCCACAAAACA